GUGCAAUAAGCUACUCCUUCAAAUGGCUCUAAGAGAUAAUUUUUGUCAUAAGUUGGUGUCCACCAGGGCCGCAGCUGCAAUUCUUCAUUGAAGGUCAAUGAUUUGGUUCCAAUUUCAUCUGUGAGUUCAAGAAACUGAACUCCUUGUUUCAAGCUUUCAAGAAUGCCCUCCCCUUCUUCAAUAUUAUUUGCUUUCUGCUUUAACUGCAGAAUGGAUAUUUCAAUCUUUGCCAUCAAAUACUGGCUAGAUUGUUGCAAUCGCUCCUUGAAUUGAACAAACUCAAUAACUUUAGAAUAACUUCGAUGACGAUAGGCAAGAAAUGUAAGAUCA
rnacentral:misc_RNA from 1 species